CAGCAGCCACGGGAAAACAGAGGGUGCGAGCGUUAAUCGGAUUUACUGGGCGUAAAGCGUGCGUAGGCGGCGUUUAAGUCGGAUGUGAAAUCCCCGAGCUUAACUUGGGAAUUGCAUUCGAUACUGGGAAGCUAGAGUAUGGGAGAGGAUGGUAGAAUUCCAGGUGUAGCGGUGAAAUGCGUAGAGAUCUGGAGGAAUACCGAUGGCGAAGGCAGCCAUCUGGCCUAAUACUGACGCUGAGGUACGAAAGCAUGGGGAGCAAACAGGAUUAGAUACCCCCGUAGUCCCUGUCUCUUAUACA
rnacentral:rRNA from 1 species